GCCGGUUUAGCUUAGUGGUAGAGCGUUGCACUUGUAUUGGCUUGAUUUGCUACAAUUGUACAAUGCAAAGGUCGGUUGUUCAAUCCAGCCAACCGGCA